AGAGUUUGAUCCUGGCUCAGGACGAACGCUGGCGGCGUGCCUAAUACAUGCAAGUAGAACGCUGAAGAGAGGAGCUUGCUCUUCUUGGAUGAGUUGCGAACGGGUGAGUAACGCGUAGGUAACCUGCCUUGUAGCGGGGGAUAACUAUUGGAAACGAUAGCUAAUACCGCAUAACAAUGGAUGACCCAUGUCAUUUAUUUGAAAGGGGCAAAUGCUCCACUACAAGAUGGACCUGCGUUGUAUUAGCUAGUAGGUGAGGUAACGGCUCACCUAGGCGACGAUACAUAGCCGACCUGAGAGGGUGAUCGGCCACACUGGGACUGAGACACGGCCCAGACUCCUACGGGAGGCAGCAGUAGGGAAUCUUCGGCAAUGGGGGCAACCCUGACCGAGCAACGCCGCGUGAGUGAAGAAGGUUUUCGGAUCGUAAAGCUCUGUUGUAAGUCAAGAACGAGUGUGAGAGUGGAAAGUUCACACUGUGACGGUAGCUUACCAGAAAGGGACGGCUAACUACGUGCCAGCAGCCGCGGUAAUACGUAGGUCCCGAGCGUUGUCCGGAUUUAUUGGGCGUAAAGCGAGCGCAGGCGGUUUGAUAAGUCUGAAGUUAAAGGCUGUGGCUCAACCAUAGUUCGCUUUGGAAACUGUCAAACUUGAGUGCAGAAGGGGAGAGUGGAAUUCCAUGUGUAGCGGUGAAAUGCGUAGAUAUAUGGAGGAACACCGGUGGCGAAAGCGGCUCUCUGGUCUGUAACUGACGCUGAGGCUCGAAAGCGUGGGGAGCGAACAGGAUUAGAUACCCUGGUAGUCCACGCCGUAAACGAUGAGUGCUAGGUGUUGGAUCCUUUCCGGGAUUCAGUGCCGCAGCUAACGCAUUAAGCACUCCGCCUGGGGAGUACGACCGCAAGGUUGAAACUCAAAGGAAUUGACGGGGGCCCGCACAAGCGGUGGAGCAUGUGGUUUAAUUCGAAGCAACGCGAAGAACCUUACCAGGUCUUGACAUCCCGAUGCUAUUUCUAGAGAUAGAAAGUUACUUCGGUACAUCGGUGACAGGUGGUGCAUGGUUGUCGUCAGCUCGUGUCGUGAGAUGUUGGGUUAAGUCCCGCAACGAGCGCAACCCCUAUUGUUAGUUGCCAUCAUUCAGUUGGGCACUCUAGCGAGACUGCCGGUAAUAAACCGGAGGAAGGUGGGGAUGACGUCAAAUCAUCAUGCCCCUUAUGACCUGGGCUACACACGUGCUACAAUGGUUGGUACAACGAGUUGCGAGUCGGUGACGGCAAGCUAAUCUCUUAAAGCCAAUCUCAGUUCGGAUUGUAGGCUGCAACUCGCCUACAUGAAGUCGGAAUCGCUAGUAAUCGCGGAUCAGCACGCCGCGGUGAAUACGUUCCCGGGCCUUGUACACACCACCCGUCACACCAUGGGAGUCGGUAACACCCGAAGUCGGUAGUCUAACAGCAAUGAGGACGCCGCCGAAGGUGGGAUUGAUGACUGGGGUGAAGUCGUAACAAGGUA
rnacentral:rRNA from 1 species